UACGUAGGAUCCAAGCGUUAUCCGGAAUUACUGGGCGUAAAGAGUUGCGUAGGUGGCAUUGUAAGCAAGAUAUGAAAUCGUGUGGCUCAACCAUACGGCUAUGUCUUGAACUGCAAAGCUAGAGAGCGAGAGGGGUAGAUGGAAUUACUAGUGUAGGAGUGAAAUCCGUAGAUAUUAGUAGGAACACCGAUAGCGUAGGCAGUCUACUGGCUCGUUUCUGACACUAAGGCACGAAAGCGUGGGGAGCAAAUGGG
rnacentral:rRNA from 1 species